rnacentral:rRNA from 1 species
UACGUAGGGACCAAGCGUUGUCCGGAAUCAUUGGGCGUAAAGAGCGUGUAGGCGGCCUGUUAAGUCUUGCGUGAAAUCUUGGGGCUCAACCCCGAGCGGUCGUGAGAAACUGGCAGGCUAGAUGCGGGAGAGGAGAGUGGAAUUCCUGGUGUAGCGGUGAAAUGCGCAGAUAUCAGGAGAACACCAGUGGCGAAGGCGGCACUGGC